CAGCCGCCGCGGUAACACGGAGGGUGCAAGCGUUAAUCGGAAUUACUGGGCGUAAAGCGCACGCAGGCGGUCUGUCAAGUCGGAUGUGAAAUCCCCGGGCUCAACCUGGGAACUGCAUUCGAAACUGGCAGGCUAGAGUCUUGUAGAGGGGGGUAGAAUUCCAGGUGUAGCGGUGAAAUGCGUAGAGAUCUGGAGGAAUACCGGUGGCGAAGGCGGCCCCCUGGACAAAGACUGACGCUCAGGUGCGAAAGCGUGGGGAGCAAACAGGAUUAGAUACCCCAGUAGUCCCUGUCUCUUAUAC
rnacentral:rRNA from 1 species